UGGAAGAAAGGCACAAAACCUCAUUACUGUUUAGAUCUCUUCUAUAUAUGAUGCUACUGUUACAAAGGGAGAGCAUAAGCCUCAUAAAAGAGAGAGAGGGGGUUCUUUCGAACCGAAAACUAGCAUAAUAGCUUCUCUAUUUCUCUUCUCCUCGACGCCCUUAAUCUUUACUUUAUUUUGAGGCCGGAAGGUCAUAGUUGGAGCCAAGAAAACAGCUUUUUCUUCCACAUUAGGAGGCUUGGUGGUCACCCUUUUGGGGUUUCUAUACCUUUCUUGUUUAAUUGAUGAUUACUUGUGUUUAUAUAUGUUGGUCUGAGAGAUUGAAGCUGCCAGCAUGAUCUGGUGUUGUCAAAAAGUCACCUCUGUGUGUGUGUGUUUGUGUUUGUGUGUGUAUAUAUUGGAAGGAUUAAGUGAGGUCAAUUAAUCUUUCUGCGCGUUUUUGAGGUGUUUAUUAGUGUGUGUGUGUGUGUGUGUGUGUUUAUGAGUAGGGUAAAGAGAGCUUAACCAGGUCAUCUUGCAGCUUCAAUCACUCGUACCCAACAGUUUUUCAUACAAAGCACACAUGAAGAAACCCCAUCAAGACUGUGUUUUUUGCUUUCAAGUUCUCGUUAGCAAUGGCGAAUCAAUCCCAUGUGAAAUUACGAAUCUACCCAAGUUUCAACGCAUAUAAAAUGCUCGAUCGCUUAAUUAGUCACUACACUCACUAGGCGCAAUAAGGUCGAUUGGCUUAACUACCGAAUUGACGUGGGAAAACAUUCAGAAUGAGUUUGGAAUCAUGUCCUUAUAUAUAGUUUAUCGCGAGACUUUCCCUCACGAAGUUCAUCAAGGGCCAACAAACCAUCUGGGCUCGGAAGUGCGCGCUAAAUCAUCCAAACGAUUAUUGGCUCAAUACUUCUCCUAAGCUAGUAAGUGCUCCUCUUAGUUUUAUGUAGGAUUUUGGUUAAUUAAGUUUGAUGUGUUAAAUAGGGUAUUCAAUUUGUUUCACAUCAACACACUUGUUUAGAUGAUUAUUGGAAAAUAACACAAUGGGUUUCUG